rnacentral:tRNA from 1 species
AUAUAUAUAGUAUAAAUAAUUAUAUUUAACUUCCAAUUAAAAGAUUUAAAAAAAAAUAAUAUAUAUA